CCUCAUGUUGCCUGUCUUCAGAAUUUCAGGUCUCUGUGGAUUCCCUGUCCAUUUGAUACUAAAUUUGAUUUUCUUUUGUUAAUAUGCCUCUUGUCAAUUUGUUUCUUAGUCCAGCCAGAAGUACCUUGAACAGCAGAGAAAAUUCUUCCUCUCCAACAGUUGGCACACUCAGCAGGACACCACUCACCUGACACCCUGCAGUAGCUGAGAGAUCCUUGAGAAAUCUGACAAACAGCUGACAAAAGGAAACUACUGGAAAUAUUGAUUAUAUUACCAACACUUUGACUGGAAUGGCAUGCUUGGGAGAAACAUGCAUAGGCUCAGAUAUGACCAGACAGCUUUAAAGAACUAAGCUGGAUUUUAUGGAGCUAAUAAAGCCCCUGGGAAAUAUCAGCCUGAUACUUGCUUACAGAAUCCCCAGCAGCCUUACCAGCCCUCUUAUUUAAUAACUGAUUACUGGAACAAUAGGGCUAACUUUGAGAACAUACCUGCAUCAUCACUUCCUGAAAGAGUUUAAUUGAACUGAAUAUCAGGACUAAGACUGGUUCAACAAGAUGAAACCAUCUACCAACUCAAACUUUAAGGUGUGUGCUUCGCUCUGUGAUGAAGGACACCAGCUUUCUAUGUAGGACACCCAUAUCAAGAUCACAG